AGAGUUUGAUCCUGGCUCAGAUUGAACGCUGGCGGCAGGCCUAACACAUGCAAGUCGAGCGGCAGCGGAAAGUAGCUUGCUACUUUGCCGGCGAGCGGCGGACGGGUGAGUAAUGUCUGGGAAACUGCCUGAUGGAGGGGGAUAACUACUGGAAACGGUAGCUAAUACCGCAUAACGUCGCAAGACCAAAGAGGGGGACCUUCGGGCCUCUUGCCAUCAGAUGUGCCCAGAUGGGAUUAGCUAGUAGGUGGGGUAACGGCUCACCUAGGCGACGAUCCCUAGCUGGUUUGAGAGGAUGACCAGCCACACUGGAACUGAGACACGGUCCAGACUCCUACGGGAGGCAGCAGUGGGGAAUAUUGCACAAUGGGCGCAAGCCUGAUGCAGCCAUGCCGCGUGUAUGAAGAAGGCCUUCGGGUUGUAAAGUACUUUCAGCGGGGAGGAAGGUGUUGAGGUUAAUAACCUCAGCAAUUGACGUACCCG
rnacentral:rRNA from 1 species